rnacentral:rRNA from 1 species
UACGUAGGGUGCAAGCGUUGUCCGGAAUUAUUGGGCGUAAAGAGCUCGUAGGCGGUCUGUCGCGUCGGCUGUGAAAUCCCGAGGCUCAACCUCGGGUCUGCAGCCGAUACGGGCAAACUAGAGUAUUGCAGGGGAGACUGGAAUUCCUGGUGUAGCGGUGAAAUGCGCAGAUAUCAGGAGGAACACCGGUGGCGAAGGCGGGUCUCUGGGCAAUAACUGACGCUGAGGAGCGAAAGCGUGGGGAGCGAACAGG